rnacentral:rRNA from 1 species
UACGGGGGGUGCAAGCGUUGUUCGGAAUUAUUGGGCGUAAAGCGCGUGUAGGCGGUCUGAUUAGUCUGAUGUGAAAGCCCUGGGCUCAACCCAGGAAGUGCAUUGGAUACUGUCAGACUUGAAUACGGGAGAGGGUAGUGGAAUUCCUAGUGUAGGAGUGAAAUCCGUAGAUAUCAGGAAGAACACCGAUGGCGAAGGCGGCUCUCUGGGACGGUACUGACGCUGAGACGCGAAAGCGUGGGGAGCGAACAGG